rnacentral:lncRNA from 1 species
UUAUGAAUAAAUUUGACUAUAAAAACAGGGCAUACAAAUGUUUUUGAAACCUAGUAUGGUGUUGCCCAUCUUGGGAAAUAGAGGCAGAAGGAUCAGAAAUUCAAGACCAUCCUCAGCUACAUAAUGAGUUCAAGGCCAGCCUGGACUACAGAAGACCCUAUCUCAAAAAACAAAAGCAGACAAAAAUGAUAGAGUCUCACUAUGUAGCCCUGGUUAGCUGGCCUGGAACUUGCAAUCAGAAAUGAAAAUUCUGAAAAAAAAAAAAAGAAAGAAAGAAAAGAAAUGAAAAUUCUGAACAUGCCCAACCUAAGACUGUAAGUCCAUCCUCUGGUCUCUAUACCAGUAGAUGUGAUCUGGUCCAUGAAGGAUCAUAAAUGGUCCCCAGGCACAGAAUUGCA